UCGAGAAUUUUUCACAAUGGGCGCAAGCCUGAUGGAGCGACGCCGCGUGGGGGAUGAAUGGCUUCGGCCCGUAAACCCCUGUCAUUUGCGAUCAACCGUUAUUAUUUAAAAGAUGAUAACCUGAUAGUAGCGAAAGAGGAAGGGACGGCUAACUCUGUGCCAGCAGCCGCGGUAAUACCGAGGUCCCAAGCGUUGGUCGGAUUCACUGGGCGUAAAGGGUGCGUAGGUGGCGGGGUAAGUCGGAUGUGAAAUCUCGGAGCUCAACUCCGAAAUGGCAUUGGAAACUGCCCUGCUCUAGGAGUGGAGGGGGGACUGGAAUACUUGGUGUAGCAGUGAAAUGCGUAGAUAUCAAGUGGAACACCAGUGGCGAAGGCGAGUCCCUGGACAACUCCUGACACUGAGGCACGAAAGCUAGGGGAGCAAACA
rnacentral:rRNA from 1 species